UGGGGAAUAUUGCACAAUGGACGAAAGUCUGAUGCAGCAACGCCGCGUGGAGGAUGACACAUUUCGGUGCGUAAACUCCUUUUAUAUAGGAAGAUAAUGACGGUACUAUAUGAAUAAGCACCGGCUAACUCCGUGCCAGCAGCCGCGGUAAUACGGAGGGUGCAAGCGUUACUCGGAAUCACUGGGCGUAAAGAGCGUGUAGGCGGGUAAAUAAGUCAGAAGUGAAAUCCUAUAGCUUAACUAUAGAACUGCUUUUGAAACUGUAUACCUAGAAUGUGGGAGAGGUAGAUGGAAUUUCUGGUGUAGGGGUAAAAUCCGUAGAGAUCAGAAGGAAUACCGAUUGCGAAGGCGAUCUACUGGAACAUUAUUGACGCUGAGACGCGAAAGCGUGGGGAGCAAACA
rnacentral:rRNA from 1 species